ACCAUCAAGAUGGUCAUGGCUCUGUGAUCCAGGAUCACCUGAAGCAGAUCAUCCUUUCUCUGACGUAUUAUCAGAAGGUCAGUAGUUGCCUAACAUGACAUCACAAUGCCCGUCAUUCACCUUACUGCAUCUCACCAGGUAGGCAUCGUAUCAUCUCACGUCAUCACGAGAAGAACGCACCCCUGCUCAGACUGAAUGGGAAUACUGAUAAACAUGAAAACAUGCUCAACGUCUCUAAUAAUCAAAGAAAUACAUAUUGAAAUGAGAUGCCACUGUUUCUUCUAUCACUGGGACUGAAAUGAAAGGUAUUCAUCAUAUCCUUUGCUGGUGAGAAAGCCGGACGGAGAAAGAUCAGAGAGAGCGCCACCCCCAUUCCCCACAGCGUUCCAGCUCUGGCCCUGCUCUGUGGCUGCCCCUCAAGCCUGAAAAUCACCUCAUAUUCUUACAAUAAAUCCCUUCUCCUCUC